rnacentral:lncRNA from 1 species
GCUGUACAGGGGCACUCUGGUGCACCAGCUUGUGGACCAACUGAGACGGGGGGGGUGAACCCGGAUUCUCUUCUGAUGGAAGUCCUUUCCUCUAUGGAGCUUUACCAAGUCAUGCUGGAUAACCUGAAGGAUUGUUAUGAAGGUACUGGAAGAAAGGAGGAGGCCAAUGAAGAGGGUUGGACGCAAGUCAGGAGGUAGGAAGAGGUAGGGGUGGGAAUAGGCACCACUACGUACAGUACAAGUCAAAAGUUUGGACACACCUGCUCAUUGAAGGGUUUUUCUUUAUUUUUACUACUUUCUACAUUGUAGAAUAAUAGUGCAGACAUCAAAACAAUGAAAUAACACAUAUGGAAUCAUGUAGUAACCAAUUCUUUUUUAAACAAAUCAAAAUAUAUUUUAUAUUUGCGAUUCUUCAAAGUAGCCACCCUUUGCCUUGAUGACACUAACAAAAUGUCCCCAGUUGGUGUUUUAUUUUGUUUACUAUUGUUGUGGGGACUUCUGGUUCCCAUAAGUAUAGUUAAACACGUUCACACGCAGACACACCGACACACACCACACACACACACCACACACACACACCACACACACACACCACACACACACACCACACACACAGACACACACACAGACACACACCACAUGCACCAGACACACAGUGCAAAAGAAGAGUCAGCUAGCCUCUGCUCUCAUUGCUGCAUGAUGAAAGUGGCCCAAGCCUCUGAGAAGUCUGCUAAUGAUAACGAUGUGGAGGCUCUCUCUCUCUCUCUCUAUCUCCCUCUCUUGCUCUCUCAGUCCCAGCUCAGGUAUAUCCCAGCCCCCAAGGCUCUCAGUCCCAGCUCAGGUAUAUCCCAGCCCCUAGGCUCUCAGCCCCAGCUCAGGUAUAUCCCAGCCCCCCAGCCCCUAGACUCUCAGUCCCAGCUCAGGUAUAUCCCAGCCCCCCAGCCCCUAGACUCUCAGUCCCAGCUCAGGUAUAUCCCAGCCCCCCAGCCCCUAGACUCUCAGUCCCAGCUCAGGUAUAUCCCAGCCCCCCAGCCCCUAGACUCUCAGUCCCAGCUCAGGUAUAUCCCAGCCCCCAAGGCUCUCAGUCCCAGCUCAGGUAUAUCCCAGCCCCCAAGGCUCUCAGUCCCAGCUCAGGUAUAUCCCAGCCCCCUAGGCUCUCAGUCCCAGCUCAGGUAUAUCCUAGACCCCCAGUCCCAGCACAGGUAUAUCCCAGCCGCCCCUUAGUCCCCCCGUCCCAGCUCAGGUAUAUCCUAGACCCCCAGUCCCAGCUCAGGUAUAUCCCAGCCCCCUAGGCUCUCAUCCCCUCUUUCAGGUAUACAUCAAUAAGCUACAUGGGAGGCCGACUCAGAGUGGAGGGGAGCUCGAAUAGCAGGGCUUAGCAUAGACUCUAUGCGUCCUAAAUGGCACCCCAUUCCCAUUGGGAGUCACCCUUAGACUCUCUUCCCAACAACCCCUGAGAGAUCUGUUACCACCAUGCCCCACUACUUGCUUCCCGCCUGCCUCUCUCUCCAGCUCUCUUUAUCUUGCUCCCUCCUCUCUCUCACACCAUCACUCUCUUCUCUCUCUCAAUUAAAUUCAGUUCAAUUCAAGGGGCUUUAUUGGCAUGGGAAUCAUAUGUUAACAUUGCCAAAGGAAGUGAGGUAGAUAAUAUACAAAAGUGAAAUAAACAAUAAAAAGGAACAGUAAAUAUUACACUCACAGAAGUUCCAAAAGAAUAAAGACAUUCAAAAUGUCAUAUUAUGUCUAUAUACAGUGUUGUAACGAUGUGCAAAUGGUUAAAGUACAAAGGGGAAAAUAAAUAAACAUAAAUAUGGGUUGUAUUUACAAUGGUGUUUGUUCUUCACUGGUUGCCCUUUUCUUGUGGAAACAGGUCACACUUAUUGCUGCUGUGAUGGAACACAGUGGUAUUUCACCCAGUAGAUUUGUGAGUUUAUCAAAAUUGGGUUUGUUUUCGAGUUAUUUGUGGAUCUGUGUAAUCUGAGGGAAAUAUGUGUCUCUAAUAUGGUCAUACAUUUGGCAGGAGGUUAGGAAGUGCAGCUCAGUUUCCAUCUCAUUUUGUGGGCAGUGUGCACAUAGCCUGUCUUUUCUUGAGAGCCAGGCAGCCUUUCUCAAUAGCAAGGCUAUGCUCACUGAGUCUGUACAUAGUCAAAGCGUUCCUUAAGUUUGGGUCAGUCACAGUGGUCAUGUAUUCUGCCACUGUGUACUCUCUGUUUAGGGCCAAAUAGCAUUCUAGUUUGCUC